rnacentral:rRNA from 1 species
UACGGAGGGUGCAAGCGUUAUCCGGAUUCACUGGGUUUAAAGGGUGCGUAGGUGGGCAGGUAAGUCAGUGGUGAAAUCUCCGGGCUUAACUCGGAAAGGUCAACUGAUACUGUGCGGCUAGAGUGCAGAAGGGGCAACUGGAAUUCUCGGUGUAGCGGUGAAAUGCGUAGAUAUCGAGAGGAACACCUGCGGCGAAGGCGGGUUGCUGGGCUGACACUGACGCUGAUGCGCGAAAGCCAGGGGAGCGAACGGG